AUACGGAGGAUCCGAGCGUUAUCCGGAUUUAUUGGGUUUAAAGGGUGCGCAGGCGGCCAUUUAAGUCAGCGGUUAAAUCGUGGGGCUCAACCCCAUUCUGCCGUUGAUACUGGGUGGCUUGAUUGCGGUCGAGGUUGGCGGAAUUCGUAGUGUAGCGGUGAAAUGCAUAGAUAUGACGAAGAACACCGAUUGCGUAGGCAGCUGACCAGAUCGCAAAUGACGCUCAUGCACGAAAGUGCGGGGAUCGAACAGGAUUAGAUACCCUGGUAGUCCGCACAGUAAACGAUGAAUACUUGUUUUCGGCGAUAUAAUGUCGGAGGCAAAGCGAAAGCGAUAAGUAUUCCACCUGGGGAGUACGCCGGCAACGGUGAAACUCAAAGGAAUUGACGGGG
rnacentral:rRNA from 1 species